rnacentral:rRNA from 1 species
UACGUAGGGGGCAAGCGUUGUCCGGAAUUAUUGGGCGUAAAGAGCGCGUAGGCGGUCCGGUAAGUCGGCUGUGAAAGUCAAGGGCUCAACCCUUGAAAGCCGGCCGAUACUGUCGGACUAGAGUCCGGAAGAGGCGAGUGGAAUUCCCGGUGUAGCGGUGAAAUGCGCAGAUAUCGGGAGGAACACCUAUGGCGAAGGCAGCUCGCUGGGACGUUACUGACGCUGAGACGCGAAAGCGUGGGGAGCAAACAGG